rnacentral:lncRNA from 10 species
GUGAAUCUGCACAGCCCCCCAGGAGGGGGCCCUUGGGAACAGCCCUACCCCAGGGGUCAGGCAACGUGAGUUCUAGCUUUGCCUCCAGAUGUGUCCGGCAGGUCUCGGGACUUUUCCGGCCUCAAAUAUCUUCUUCAUGAGACUAGGGCUGGACCAUCAGCUUUUUUUUUUUUGCAGAAUGAUAGCCCAUGAAAAAAAAAUCUGUUAAGGAACACCAAAUACCAUAUCUCCCUCUCGGAGAUUCACGGUGCAUAUUGUACACUAAAGGCUGUGAGGCGUCCAUGGUAAAAUAGAACCCUGUUUUAGUUGGAAUUUGUGUUGCCAAGCACCUUCCAAAACAUUUAAUUACAGAGCUCUCCACCCCUCUAUUUUUACAUAAUAUCUAUUAACGUCUUGUGUGUUCCAGUUAGUAUUGCUGCAUA